GAAUUAACAAAGAACAGAAGAGUAGCGUGUCAAUUUUUAAGCGAGUUGUGAAGAGUGUGAGCACAAUAAAUUAAACAUGGCGAACCACAUCUGCGAGUUGAGAGAUUGAACUAAUAGUAGGUCUUUCCGGUAAUCCCGUUAUCAUUGGAGUUAAUUAUUAACUUCCUGAGGUUGUGCAUGUGAGUGUAUGACGAACUGGGGUGGAAUCGCGAUUUUGUCGUCCUCUUA
rnacentral:ncRNA from 1 species